rnacentral:rRNA from 1 species
GACGAACGCUGGCGGCGUGCUUAACACAUGCAAGUCGAACGGAAAGGCCCUUUCGGGGGUACUCGAGUGGCGAACGGGUGAGUAACACGUGGGUGAUCUGCCCUGCACUUUGGGAUAAGCCUGGGAAACUGGGUCUAAUACCGAAUACACCCUGCUGGUCGCAUGGCCUGGUAGGGGAAAGCUUUUGCGGUGUGGGAUGGGCCCGCGGCCUAUCAGCUUGUUGGUGGGGUGAUGGCCUACCAAGGCGACGACGGGUAGCCGGCCUGAGAGGGUGACCGGCCACACUGGGACUGAGAUACGGCCCAGACUCCUACGGGAGGCAGCAGUGGGGAAUAUUGCACAAUGGGCGCAAGCCUGAUGCAGCGACGCCGCGUGAGGGAUGACGGCCUUCGGGUUGUAAACCUCUUUCAGCACAGACGAAGCGCAAGUGACGGUAUGUGCAGAAGAAGGACCGGCCAACUACGUGCCAGCAGCCGCGGUAAUACGUAGGGUCCGAGCGUUGUCCGGAAUUACUGGGCGUAAAGAGCUCGUAGGUGGUUUGUCGCGUUGUUCGUGAAAACUCACAGCUUAACUGUGGGCGUGCGGGCGAUACGGGCAGACUAGAGUACUGCAGGGGAGACUGGAAUUCCUGGUGUAGCGGUGGAAUGCGCAGAUAUCAGGAGGAACACCGGUGGCGAAGGCGGGUCUCUGGGCAGUAACUGACGCUGAGGAGCGAAAGCGUGGGGAGCGAACAGGAUUAGAUACCCUGGUAGUCCACGCCGUAAACGGUGGGUACUAGGUGUGGGUUUCCUUCCUUGGGAUCCGUGCCGUAGCUAACGCAUUAAGUACCCCGCCUGGGGAGUACGGCCGCAAGGCUAAAACUCAAAGGAAUUGACGGGGGCCCGCACAAGCGGCGGAGCAUGUGGAUUAAUUCGAUGCAACGCGAAGAACCUUACCUGGGUUUGACAUGCACAGGACGCCGGCAGAGAUGUCGGUUCCCUUGUGGCCUGUGUGCAGGUGGUGCAUGGCUGUCGUCAGCUCGUGUCGUGAGAUGUUGGGUUAAGUCCCGCAACGAGCGCAACCCUUGUCUCAUGUUGCCAGCACGUUAUGGUGGGGACUCGUGAGAGACUGCCGGGGUCAACUCGGAGGAAGGUGGGGAUGACGUCAAGUCAUCAUGCCCCUUAUGUCCAGGGCUUCACACAUGCUACAAUGGCCGGUACAAAGGGCUGCGAUGCCGUGAGGUGGAGCGAAUCCUUUCAAAGCCGGUCUCAGUUCGGAUCGGGGUCUGCAACUCGACCCCGUGAAGUCGGAGUCGCUAGUAAUCGCAGAUCAGCAACGCUGCGGUGAAUACGUUCCCGGGCCUUGUACACACCGCCCGUCACGUCAUGAAAGUCGGUAACACCCGAAGCCGGUGGCCUAACCCUUGUGGAGGGAGCCGUCGAAGGUGGGAUCGGCGAUUGGGAC